rnacentral:rRNA from 1 species
UACGUAGGGUGCAAGCGUUGUCCGGAAUUAUUGGGCGUAAAGAGCUCGUAGGCGGUCUGUCGCGUCGGCUGUGAAAACCCGAGGCUCAACCUCGGGCCUGCAGUCGAUACGGGCAGACUAGAGUGCGGUAGGGGUGACUGGAAUUCCUGGUGUAGCGGUGGAAUGCGCAGAUAUCAGGAGGAACACCGAUGGCGAAGGCAGGUCACUGGGCCGCAACUGACGCUGAGGAGCGAAAGCAUGGGGAGCGAACAGG